rnacentral:rRNA from 1 species
GAUGAACGCUGGCGGCGUGCCUAAUGCAUGCAAGUCGAGCGAACGGACGAGAAGCUUGCUUCUCUGAUGUUAGCGGCGGACGGGUGAGUAACACGUGGAUAACCCACCUAUAUUACUGGUAUAACUUCGGGAAACCGUCGCUAAUACCGGAUAAUCUUUUGAACCGCAUGGGUCAAAAGUGAAAUACGGUCUUGCUGUCACUAAUAGCUGGAUCCGCGCUGCAUUAGCUAGUUGUUACGGUAACGGCGUACCAAGGCAACGAUGCGUAACCGACCUGACAGGGUGAUCGGCCACACUGGAACUGAGACACGGUCCAGAGUCCUACGGGAGGCAGCAGUAGGGAAUCGUGCGCAAAGGGCGAAAGCCUGACGGAGCAACGCGGCGUGAGUGAUGAAGGUCUUCGGGUCGUAAAACUCUGUUAUUAGGGAAGAACAUAUGUGUGAGUAACUGUGCGCAUCUUGACGGUACCUAAUCAGAGAGCCACGGCUAACUACGUG